AACGAACGCUGGCGGCAUGCCUAACACAUGCAAGUCGAACGAGACCUUCGGGUCUAGUGGCGCACGGGUGCGUAACGCGGGGGAACCUGCCCUUAGGUUCGGAAUAACUCCCCGAAAGGGGUGCUAAUACCGGAUAAUGUCUUCGGACCAAAGAUUUAUCGCCUUUGGAUGGGCCCGCGUUGGAUUAGCUAGUUGGUAGGGUAAAAGCCUACCAAGGCGACGAUCCAUAGCUGGUCUGGGAGGAUGAUCAGCCACACUGGGACUGAGACACGGCCCAGACUCCUACGGGAGGCAGCAGUGGGGAAUAGUGGACGAUGGGCGAAAGCCUGAUCCAGCAGUGCCGCGUGAGUGAUGAAGGCCUUAGGGUUGUAAAGCUCUUUUACCCGGGAUGAUAAUGACAGUACCGGGAGAAUAAGCUCCGGCUAACUCCGUG
rnacentral:rRNA from 1 species